GGUACNGCCAAGAGACUGGGAUAACACCUGGAAACAGAUGCUAAUACCGGAUAACAACACUAGACGCAUGUCUAGAGUUUAAAAGAUGGUUCUGCUAUCACUCUUGGAUGGACCUGCGGUGCAUUAGCUAGUUGGUAAGGCAACGGCUUACCAAGGCAAUGAUGCAUAGCCGAGUUGAGAGACUGAUCGGCCACAUUGGGACUGAGACACGGCCCAAACUCCUACGGGAGGCAGCAGUC
rnacentral:rRNA from 1 species